CCCCCUCAAAUUGGUGUAUAGAUAUCACAUAUGUCUAGGGCUGUGCAAUCGGUCGGUUCGGUUCGGAACCGAACCGAACCGAUAAAACCGAAAACCGAUUUGUUAAAAUUUAUAAAACCGAAAAAACCGAUUAUGAAGGUAUAACCGAACCGAAUCGAACCGAUAAAAAUCGGUUCGGUUCGGUUCAAACCGAAAUCUGUAUUUUUUUUUUAUUUUUUAUUUCUAAUUUCAACAAAAUAAUUUAAUAAAUAUUCUAUUAAAAACCACGGCCACCCAGAAGUCGUAACAGAGAUAUGAAUCAAAACCCAGAUGAGAGAAACUCGCAACCCAGAUGAGAGAAAUGAAGUAUAUGCGGAAAAUUGUAUAAAUUUGGAUAUAUAUUACCUCUUCUUCACCGUCUUCAUCCUCGUCAUCGUUUUCCUCCUCCUCCUCCUCGUCAUCGUCAUCGUCGUCUCCGCCUUCACCAUCGUCAUCUUCAUCGUCAUCCUCGUUGUCGUCGUCAUCCGCCGACUGAACCGGUGGCCCUCUGGAGGAUUGUAAGACCUGAACCUCGUCGUCUUCGUCGUCCUCGCCCCCCUCAUCAUCGUCUUCGUCGUCUUCGUCGUCGUCACCGUCGUCGUCGUCGCCAUCUUCUUCUUCCUCUUCCUCUUUAGAUUCUACACCUUCCUCUGUUUCACAGUCGUCUCGCAGAAAGAGUAAAGAUUGCAAAUUUCAGAGGUUAAUAAGCAAGUUCAGCUUUUAGCUGUAAAACAGAGGAAGCCGAAGAGGAGUCAAAGAGGAAACGAAGAGUGUUUUGCCAGUCCUCAGCCGCUGUGCAGAUCGACGUGAAAGAGAAAGAGAUUAAUGGGAUUUGAUGAUUGAUUUGUUAAGGAUUCGGAUUCGACUAUGAGAGUGUGGAGAGCCCAGGGGAGGAAUCGAGAUUCGGGAGAAUAGGGGUGGGGGAAUCGGGAGAUUGGAGAAUGUGGAAAAUGGGAUGGAGGGGUUCGGCGAAAGGUAUGGAGGGGGUUGGGGUGCUGGCCUGCUGGGUUGGGUUGGGUUGGGUUGGGUACGAUAGGCCAGCACCCCAACCCCCUGGGUUGGGUUGGGUUCGGUUUUUCGGUUUGAUCGGUUAUUUAACAUGUUUAAACCGAACCGAACCGAAAACCGAAUAAUUUUAAAUUUACUAACCGAACCAAACCGAUCUUUCCGACUAACCGAACCGAUAAACCGAAUUUAAUCGGUUCGGUUCGGUUUUUCGGUUUAGACCGAGAAUUGCUCAGCCCUACAUAUGUCCAACUUGCAAACCAAGGUAUGAUAUGUCUUGUUGCUAAGCCUUUUAGUAAACAUAUUAGCUAGCUAUUCAUCAGAAGUCACAUGAUCUAACAUGAAGACACCAUUUAUUAACUUCUCUUUAAUUAAGUAUCGAUCAAUCUCUAUAUGCUUCGUUCGAUCAUGUUGAACCGGAUUGUGAGCAAUACUGAUGGCAGUUUUGUUGUCAUAGUACAAGAGGAGUUUAUCCGUCUCUAAUAGUUUCAAUUCCUCCAACAAUCUGUGCAACCAUAGGAGUUCACAAACAUCUUGUGCCAUCUCUCUACAUUCUGCCUUAGCACUUGAUCGAGCAACAACACUUUGCUUUUUGCUUCUUCAAGUGACAAGAUUUACUCUCACAAGUGUACAGUAACCACUAGUCAACCUUCUAUCAGUGUAAGGAAUCCAGUCCGACGCGGAACCCUAAGGCACAAGCCUCAAACCCACACGCACGAGUAAAUAUGAAACCCAAAGAUUUGAUAAACCCACCUCCUAUUGCACCCCACACUUAGAGAAGCUGAAACACCAAUGAUCGAAGGAUUUAGAUGAGAAUCCGAUAAACGCCACAACGAAUAGUUAAUAAGUUAGCCAAGAUUCUUGGUGCAAUUGAUGAAAGCAAAUCCUCACUCUCACUCAACACAAUACACGCCAAAGGCAUGAAAAGAAUUCUGAAAAUUUAGAUUCAAAGCUGUCUCUUACAAGUGUUUCUUAUCCUUAUAUAGUAAGGAGAGAAAAUAAAACUCUAAGACACUCUUUUUAGGGCUGGCCGAACCACACACAAGACCCAAGUCCAAUCACACACUAAAAUAACACAUCAAACACAUAAGUAUUAAAACAUAAGCCCAAAACAUGG
rnacentral:lncRNA from 1 species